GGCACCUCACCCCGUUCUGGAGCUACGUCCUAUGGACUCCGACAGCCGCAGAUAAGCCCUCGGGGACCGGGGUUGUGAAACGCGAGGUCGUGAAGACGCCAGCCACAUACCGAAGGGUGGGAUGGUGAGAUCAGCCCCGUCCCACCCCAAUUAAAAUCCACCUGACAGAAAAUUAACAACCGGCGUGGUGGCUAACGCCUGUAAUCCCAGCACUUCGGGAGGCCAAGGUGGGUGAAUCACCUGAGGUCGGGAGUUCGAGACCAGCCUGGCCAACAUGGAGAAACCCUGUCUCUACUAAAAACACAAAAAUUAACCAGGCGUGGUGGCGCUUGCCUGUAAUCCCAGCUGCUGGGGAGGCUGAGAGGAAGAGGUUGACUCUAAUGUAUCCCGUCUAGGAUGUGUUUCAUAAAUCUGGCUAGAAGAUUUCUUUUCCAGACAAAGUCUCUCUCUGUUGCCCAGACUAGAGAGCAGUGGUGAGAUUGUGCCUCCCAGAUUCAAGUGAUUCUCCUGCCUCAGCCUCCUGAGUACACCUGGGACUACAGGGCUGCUAUACUGUACAUCUCCAGGAAGAUAAACUGUAUUCCACAGAGCAGGAGGUUAUUUGGAAUCACUGCAUCCUCACCUCUCUCUCAAAGAAAACACAGUCAGCUAUCUCCUAAAGUUGCAUAUCAUCACAGUUCUAAUCCUUCGUUGUAUAUCUUAAGUACAUAGGACACUUUAAGGACAGAAAUGCUUGGGCCUCACCCUAAAAUCAUUGAAUCAGAAAGUACUGAAUUUCCCCACAUGACUGAGGAGUUAGGAAACACUGGAAACAUAGGAUGAGUGUGGGAGAAGUAGUUAGACAAUAAUCUUGAUAAGCAGCUUAACAACAGUGUACCUUGGUUUCAAUACUAAAAAAUUUGAAAUUUAGUUCUACAUAUAGUGGUAACUAUUAAAGAUGUUCACAAUGUAAUGAAAUAAUCAGACUGACAAGAAAGCUUAACUUGGCAUCAGUGUGGCAGAUAGGCAAGAAGAGUAUGAAGCCUGAGUCAGGGGUAGGAGGCUAUUACAAGCUAAGGAAUGGAUGGUAAGGACUUAGACUGGCUGCAGUACAAGCAGGGAGGAAGAAAAUGAGAAAGGACUCAUAAAACAUUGGAUAGGACUUUGAUCAACAAAAUACAUAAGCUGGGUGAAGGCUGAACACCAUAUAACAUUAUUUCCAGGCUAAGCAAUUGAAUGCAGUUUGAUGAUGUCAUUAACCAAAUAGGGAAUAUAGUGGAAGGAUAGAAUGGAGCAAAUGGAGGAAAUCAAUUCUCUUUCUAGCUGUGAUUCAGUUGAAGUUCUUUGUAGGCCCUUUAGAUGGACCUAGAACAAGAAGAACUUGGAAAUUAAGAUUUGGAGUUCAGGAAAGAAGUUGAAGCUAAAAUCUUAGGUUUGGGAGUCAACAGGGUACUUGGUAACACUUGAGGACAUUAGAAUGAGGGAAACUGAACAGGGAAUUGUUCAUGUAGAAUCAAAAGUACCUAGCACAAAAUUAAAGAUAAACCAGACUUUCUUGUUAAAUUUACUUAACCAUACAAUCUUAAUAAAGCUUACACAUAGCACCAUUAAAAAUAAGCAGAAGUUAAUGUGAAGAAUAGUAAUAGAAAAAUUAUCUGCAAACUGUAGGACAACUUUAAAUAUGACUAUUGUAUCUCUGAAAUUAUUUAGAAUCCAUUAGUCUAUUAGUUUGGAAAGACUGUCGUUUCUAGCUUAUAAACAGCACAUUCAUCAAGUUGGCUCCUCAUCUAUAUCAGUACUUCCCUAAAUGAAACAAUCAGAUAUUUGGUGAUUUACUUCCUACAAAGUCAAGUCAAUAUACAUAACUAUUAAGUCAACUCAUAAGAAAUAGAGCCAUGUAUUUAACAAAUGCAACUUCUCAUAUCAAGAGAUUAUCACUUAAAAUGUGUCUAUGUGUUUGUGUACUUGUGUGACAGGCAGUUUUGUAAAACUUCUCAACUUUAAUAAUCAAAAUACUUGAUUGGUCUGGAAUUAUUUUAACAGCAAAAAAGCAAAAAAACAAAACCAAACUUAAAUUCACAGGGCCAUGCUACUUCCAGAGGGUGAAUGCCCUUGUUUGGAGUGAGUCUCUUAAAUCUUCAUUUUUAAGAGGUACCUAGGUAAUUAUGAUGAAACAGGUUCAGGAAACUAUAUUUUGAGAAACAUUACCAUAUAUUAGAUUUACAUUUUAACUAAGACUGUUUUAAAAAUGUUGAGAAAUGUAUAGACUGCAGAAAACUGUUUUAAAUAACAAUAUUAUAUGGUUCAAGUAGAAAAUACAUUUUCUUUAUUCAAAUCAUGUUGAUAUACAUGAAGUUAUACCAAAGCUGCAUUUUAAUCUCAUCACAUUCCACUCCAAAUUCUUUACCAUUUACCAAAAAUAACUUUUAAUAAAGCUUACUAUUUUGUCUAAUAUUAUACAAUCAAUCUAUAAUUUUUUGUGUUUAUCUCAAAAAUUAGAAUAGCUUAUGAGCAUAUUAUAUAAAACUAAUUGGUAUAUUACACACCAAACAUAAGUACAGAUUCUGUACAAUGUAAUUAUGUACAUAUAUAUUACAAGAGACUAAAUGCCUUGUUGAGAGUAAUUUUUUUUUUUUGAGAUGGAGUCUUGCUCUGUCACCCAGGCUGAAGUACAGUGGCUCUGCCUCUGGGUUUAAGUGAUUCUCUUGCCUCCGACUCCCGAGCAGCUGGAAUUAUACACACGCAUCUGCCAUCAUGCCCGGCUAAGUUUUGUAUUUUUGUAGAGAUGGGGUUUCACCAUGUUGACCUGGCAGGUCUUGAACUCCUCCUGUCAGGUGACCUACCUGCCUCAGCCUCCCAUAGUGCUGGGAUUACAGGAGUGUGCCACUACGCCUGGCGAAAAGUAGUAUUUUAAGAAAUCUUUCAUGGAAAAAAGCUCUGCAUUAUAAAAUGUGGUAGCUUGAGUAACAGUUACUUUUCUUUCAUGAAUUUCUUUCAGUGGGCAUUAACUGUCCAUUUAGCUUCAUUAACAGUUUUACCACAAGACCAGCCUACAAAGUAAAAGAUGACAACAAUAAAUAUAAAACAUGUAAAAAUGUUUAAAGGACAUACAUGACACUGGGCAGUUCCCUAUCUAUUUGAAAGGGAACUUAUCAGGAGACAGCUUGUUAAGAAAGAGUAUAGAGGGGAUAUUUACUCAGGCGUUUGAAUGGACUUAAGAAGCGAUCUGCUGGAUACAGCUAGGGGGCACAGGUAAGUCAAGAAGAGGGAAGAACUACCUAAUACUUUGAUAGAAGAAAUAGGUAAUAGUGACCAGAAUUAAAAGAUAUGGCACAAGAAACAAUUUGUUAUAAAGUAAAAUAAACUAUUCAGAUAAGUUUCUGACUUUCCUUGCUUAGAAGGCCUGCCUUUUUUCCUUGGCCUUAAAUAUUUUCAUUUCAUGGAAUAUUACAGAUUUUCCUUGAAGUUAAAUGGAUGUCUCUUUUUAAAAAAAGAAGUAACUUUCCUAACUCAGUAGUUCAUUGUUAGAAGUCCAAAAUAAAUAAUACUUACCUGUUUUGUAUGUACUAUAAAGCUCAUUUUAUUUUCCAUGCUAUGGAUCUGAAAACAAGUAUCAGCAUCUCCCAAUUGCCACAUAAAACAACCAUACUUAAGACUGAUAAGUAAAGCCUGCAACAAAAUUGGAAAUCAUUAUAUUGAAAUAUAUAUUAAAAACAUCACCUAUUUUCUCUUAUUAUUUACAUUUACGUAGUCUGGUCUAAAUAUUAUUGUUCAGAAUGUUUUAAUAAAGCCUUUUCAAAGCACCCACACUACCUCCAUACAGCCUGCAGCACAGAAUCACAUAGACCAGUAGACUCUCAGGAGAGUGCCGUGAGCAAUAUUUGUUGUAUAAGAUUGACAAAAGUUCUUUAUAAUGUCAAUUCUAUCCAUGGUUUUCAGGAUAAUGAAAGAUACUACCUUUAUUUUCUUCUUGCAGGUUAAAAACUAUCUCUUUAUUCAGCAUCUUUCUUUUGAAUAUUUACAUAGUACUUUCAGAUCUACAGUUUAUGCAACUGGGGUAACAUGUUUAUUUAGGCAAUCUCUUCCCACUAAAAAUAAGUACUCUGACAUAUUUAUUGUAAAAGUAAGCAUAAUUUUAAAAAUUAUUAAUAAUUGGGCCAGGCACACUGGCUCACGCCUUUAAUCCCAGCACUUUGGGAGGCCAAGGCGGGUGGAUCACGAGGUCAAGAGAUCGAGACCAUCCUGGUCAACAUAGUGAAACCCUGUCUCUACUAAAAAUACAAAAAAUUAGCUGGGCAUGGUGGUGCAGGCCUGUAAUCCCAGCUACUUAGGAGGCUGAGGCAGGAGAAUUGCCUGAACCCAGGAAGUGGAGGUUGUGGUGAGCCAAGAUCACGCCAUUGCACUCCAGCCUGGGUAACAAGAGCAAAACUCCAUCUCAAAAAAAAAAAAAAAAUUAAUAAUUUAAAAACAUAAUAUAUUUUUACAAUAAAUAUAUCAGAGUAUGUAAUUUAAAUUAAUAGUUAAAAAUCAAAUUCUUGUGUUAAAGGACAAUGUACAGUAAGGAAGGAAUUAUUGAGAAACCUAAAAUAAUGAAAACAGCUCAAUGGAGCUAAAGAGCCAAAGGAUCAUCCACAUGAUGGUUGUAGGUGAUCACUGCACAAAAAGGAAAAAGCAGCUCUCAUUAGAAGGUAAAAUCUAUAAUUGCAAAGGUUUCAUUAAGGAAAGUCAAACAUCACAAGAGAAAGAGUUGAGAAGAGUAGCUGAGAGCAGAAAAGGAAAACCCACAGAAGUCAGAAGUAGCACAUGGGUGACCAGCAGACAGAAGAAAUAGUGAUGUUGACAACUGGUCAUGUAGAGUGUUAUUAUGUGGGUAUUUAAACAACCAGUCUUAUAUCAGAAGGGCUUUAUGGUAAACAUAAAUUGACAUCAGCAGAAGAUUGUCUAUUGCCUGGGUGUGACAGUGGUACUAUUAAAUUUAAAGACAUAUCAACCGGUACAGUUCAGUUGGGAAGACUGUAACAUAUUCACUAUAACAAAACAUAACGCCACAACACAGGACACUUAACAGCUCAAUAGUGUUUACAUUUUAUGUUAGCAGAACAGACAAGUCUCUCAUGAGCAUAUGUAACUGGCUGAGCUAUGUUUUCUGCUGGGCAACUUUCAUUAUUUCAAAGAGAAACUACCUAUAGAAGGUAGAAGUAAUUGAUAAAAAAAACACAACUGUGCCCCAUGGCUUUUCCUGAGAAUCUCUGACACUAAUAUAUCCUAUGUAGUGUUUUAAAUACAAUUGAAGGUAUUUUUGCCGAUGAAGGUGUUUGCUCUAGUUUUGCAAAGCUUGUUGAAUUCAAUCCUAGCAGAUCUUGACAACUAAGAUUGUCCUAAACAACUAAGGACAAGCUGGUUGUUCCCACAUUUGACAGCUGAAAUAUGUAAUUAUCUUAGAGCUUUAUCAGUGGUUUACAGAGAACAAGGUAAUACCUAGAUAGAUAGAAAAUAUCUUUACUCUUUGGUCCAAUCACCUUUUUAGAUACGUAAGGACAGCAUUUCUAUUUGUAGUUAAGGAAACUGAAUCUCUUAUCUAAGAAAAAGCAGACUUUUCAUUAAGAAUAUUAUUGUCAUCCUCUGUCUGUUACUGCUACCUCUCCUGGAUCAGAAUAUUAUACAUAAUAUGAAAUGUUAUAUUUUAAUGUUAAAUAAUGUUGCUAAACCAUCAUUUGAAUACUAUAUAAAACUGUUUUAUUGCUGAAAAUUGGAAUGCUAACAAAAGUGAAACAUAAAAUACAGUUUAGAGAAAUGGCACAGCAUCACCAUUCAGUUCUAUGAAAAGUGAUUUGUAGAUGUUGGUAUAAAAUGCUCUGAAACAGCAGAGGAAAAGUUUCUUGAAAUGCUGGGGAGCAUUUCUACCUCAUUUCCUUUAAUGAACUUAGUCCAAGAGAAAUAGAAAAGUGGUUACAAGCUAAUAAACAGCAGCCUAUUUUGUGUGAGCAAAAUAGUAUUAACAGAAAAUGAGGAUGGGUGUAGUGGCUCACACCUGAAAUCCCAGGACUUUGGGAGGCCAAGGUAAGAGAAUCACCUUGUAGAGAUAGGGUCUCACUUUGGUGCCCACACCAGGAGUUUGAGACCAGCCUGGGAAACAAACUGAGACCCUAUCUCUACAAAUAAUUAAAAAAUUAGCUGGGUGUGGUGGCAUAUGCCUGUAGUCCCAACUACUUGGGGAGCAGAGGCAGGAGGAUCACCUGAGCCCAGGAGUUUGCAGCUGCAGUGAGCUAUGAUGCUGUCACUGCCCUCCAGCCUGGGCAACAGAGUGAGACUGUCCUAAGGGGAGAAAAAAAAGAAAGAAAGAAAGAAAAAGAAAAUGAUAAGCAAAUGACCCAAAAGCAGGGUGACUGUAAGAGGGCAAUCCCAACCUUUUUGGUACCAGGGACUGGUUUCAUGGAAGACAAUUUUUCCACAGACGGGGUGUGGGGAAUGGUUUUGGGAUCAAGCGCAUUUCAUUUAUUGUGUACUUUAUUUCUAUUACUAUUACAUUAUAAUAUGUAAUAAAAUAAUUACACAACUCA